rnacentral:rRNA from 1 species
GCUGGCGGCGUGCCUAAUACAUGCAAGUCGAACGAACUCUGGUAUUGAUUGGUGCUUGCAUCAUGAUUUACAUUUGAGUGAGUGGCGAACUGGUGAGUAACACGUGGGAAACCUGCCCAGAAGCGGGGGAUAACACCUGGAAACAGAUGCUAAUACCGCAUAACAACUUGGACCGCAUGCCGAGUUUGAAAGAUGGCUUCGGCUAUCACUUUUGGAUGGUCCCGCGGCGUAUUAGCUAGAUGGUGGGGUAACGGCUCACCAUGGCAAUGAUACGUAGCCGACCUGAGAGGGUUCGGCCACAUUGGGACUGAGACACGGCCCAAACUCCUACGGGAGGCAGCAGUAGGGAAUCUUCCACAAUGGACGAAAGUCUGAUGGAGCAACGCCGCGUG